GCGAGGUGCCCCGGAUCCCCGAGUUGAUGAUGACAGCCUGGGCGAGUUUCCUGUGACCAACAGUCGAGCACGAAAGCGGAUCCUAGAACCAGAUGACUUCCUGGAUGACCUCGAUGAUGAAGACUAUGAAGAAGAUACUCCCAAGCGUCGGGGAAAGGGGAAAUCCAAGGGUAAGGGUGUGGGCAGUGCCCGUAAGAAGCUGGAUGCUUCCAUCCUGGAGGACCGGGAUAAGCCCUAUGCCUGUGACAUUUGUGGAAAACGUUACAAGAACCGACCAGGCCUCAGUUACCACUAUGCCCACUCCCACUUGGCUGAGGAGGAGGGUGAGGACAAGGAAGACUCUCAACCACCCACUCCUGUUUCCCAGAGGUCUGAGGAGCAGAAAUGUAAGCUGAGGUGUCAGAAGUGGUGGGCAAGCAGAAGUUGGCCUGGUUAUGAAAACCACUCCUUGCAUGGGUGUUGAGUGGCUCAGGGACCCCCAUGGGUGUCAUCAAAACUCUUUCUCUCUGUAGCCAAAAAGGGUCCUGAUGGAUUGGCCUUGCCCAACAACUACUGUGACUUCUGCCUGGGGGACUCAAAGAUUAACAAGAAGACGGGACAACCCGAGGAGCUGGUGUCCUGUUCUGACUGUGGCCGCUCAGGUACUGCCUCCCGUGAAGGCUGCUGCUUUGCCCAGUCCCCAAGGGGCUCUUGGCUUGCUGG
rnacentral:sRNA from 1 species